rnacentral:rRNA from 1 species
AAAAACAUUUCUAUUAGUUUUCAUUAAUAGUAAAAUCUGCUCAAUGAAUAUUUAAUAGCCGCAACCUUGUGSUAAGGUAGCAUAAUCAUUUGUCUUUUAAAUGAAGACUAGAACAAAAGAUUUAACAUCCCAACCCCUUUAUUAGUAAAUCUUUUUAAUUUAUCUUAAAAGUAAUAAGACUUUUAUUCAAUAGAAAGACGACAAGACCCUAUCGAACUUUACUUAAGUUUAACUGGGGCAGUUAAUUAAUUAAUUAUUAUUUUAAUAAAACUUUUUAAAUAGAUAUCCAUCUAAUUGAUAAAUCAGUUACCAUAGGGAUAACAGCAUAAUUAUCUUUUAAAGACCUUAUAUAAAAUAUAGAUUAUGACCUCGAUGUUGAAUUAAUUACCUAAUUAAAGCAAAAUUUAAAAAAGGAGGUCUGUUCGACCUUUAAAAAAUUACAUGAUUUGAGUUCAGACCGGUGUAAGCCAGGUCGGUUUCUAUCUUCUAAAUAAUUUUUUGUAGUACGAAAGGACCUAAAAAUAUUUUUUAUAAUAUUGGCAGAACAUUGCAUUAGAAUUAGAAUCUAAUCAAACUCAUAUCCCUUUUACAAUAUGUUACAUUAUAAUUACAAUUAGAAUCCUAAUUAGAGUUGCCUUUUACACAAUUUUGGAACGUAAAAUUUUAGGUUAUAUACAAAUUCGAAAAGGUCCUAAUAAAGUAGGAAUACUUGGAAUUUUACAACCU